GAACUUUCACUUUCCGCGAAAAACCAAUGCCAGCAUGGCCAUAAAACACUACAUACAAAUCGAAAUCUAAAAAGCGCGGAACUUUCAUAUAUUUUCCGUCGGAGCAAUUAUUUUUCAACUCUGUAGAAAAAGCGGGCUCAAUUAAUCGCGCGGAACCUUAUUUAUCUACUCUGUACAAAUAGUAGUGUUUAAAAUCGCGCGGAGAUUGUAGAAUGCUAUUUUAAGAAGUCUAUUAAAGAGAGAAAAUCCAGUAAAUACCAGAUCCAAAAAGCGCGGAACACAAAUAUCGUCCGCGAAAAUUAAGCAUUGAAUUACUGUACAAAUCUCGGGUUGUUAGGUGUUAGAAUCCCUAGUUACCCGAAAAAUUUGAUUGGAUCCGAUACUUAGAAAUAACCAAUCAGAUACUUUGUAACAAAUGCAACACAAUCAGUGCGUUCAGUGUGUGUUGCCAGUAAUGGUUCAAGAUAUGCCAAACAAAUUGUGCCUCUCUAUACAGACAGAUUUCAGGUCUCAAUUUCAACUUCAAAGGUCAACAUAUCACUGAUAUCAGGAAUUCUGUGAAACUGUGGCACCAUGUAUGGUACGUGAGCGCACAAUGUCUGUUGGAAAAAGGAUAUUGGAAUAAGCAAAGGGACUCAACAUUACACAGUCAUUUCAACAUGUAGAGUCUUGUCAGCAAUGAUGGAGCAGUACAUCAGAUUUCCAGAAUCUCGUCAUGAGCUGAUGAUCAUUGCCUGUGGAUUUCAUGAAUGAUGUAGAAUGAUUGGACUGUUGAUGGAACCCACAGUGCAUGUCCUGCUUCAACAUCUGAGCAUAGGUCCUUGUUUAUCAGCAGUUUAGUUCUUCAAGCAGUCUGUGACAGUAACUUGAAAUGUUUGGACAUAUGCCCUGGAUGGCCAAGUUCUGUGCAUGAUGCCCAUUUAAAUAAGAACGGCCCGGUGGCGCAUUAAAUGGACAAUUUUUCGAAUGUUCUCGUGGAUUCAGCUUACCGCCUGACAAGAAAUCUUGCUUUUUGUUCCGUAUCGAGGCCAUGGACAUUUGUAUCAUUUGCAAAAGAUACUGCGAUAUUUGUGCCUUUGUUCAUGCUUUAUAGUUGAUUAACAAUUGGAAGCCAUAACCUGUUUUAUAGGAUGGUGUUAGUGGGACAAUGAAUUUUGUAAAGAUUUAAAGAAUGGAAAAGAUAAUUAAUAGUCAAAAGAGUUCUGCUAUUGUUAAGCAUGCUUUAUUGAUUUGUAAUGUUAUAAAGAUAGCAUUAUUAACAGAAUAAAAUGUCCAUAAUUUGAA